AGUGAACGCUGGCGGUAGGCCUAACACAUGCCAGUCGAACGGCAGCACAGUAAGAGCUUGCUCUUACGGGUGGCGAGUGGCGGACGGGUGAGGAAUACAUCGGAAUCUACUUUUUCGUGGGGGAUAACGUAGGGAAACUUACGCUAAUACCGCAUACGACCUACGGGUGAAAGCAGGGGAUCUUCGGACCUUGCGCGAUUGAAUGAGCCGAUGUCGGAUUAGCUAGUUGGCGGGGUAAAGGCCCACCAAGGCGACGAUCCGUAGCUGGUCUGAGAGGAUGAUCAGCCACACUGGAACUGAGACACGGUCCAGACUCCUACGGGAGGCAGCAGUGGGGAAUAUUGGACAAUGGGCGCAAGCCUGAUCCAGCUAUACCGCGUGGGUGAGGAAGGCCUUCGGGUUGUAAAGCCCUUUUGUUGGGAAAGAAAAGCAGCAGGUUAAUACCCCGCUGUUCUGACGGUACCCAAAGAAUAAGCACCGGCUAACUUCGUG
rnacentral:rRNA from 1 species